ACUCAACAAAGAGUCUUUCAGACACCACACAAUUGGCCACACCCUAAGAGUCAGCCCUAUUUAGGGACCUGCAGCUGGAAGGUGGUUCUGUAUUUGAUCUCCCUGAAGGUGUGUCAAACUACAAAGAAAUGACAUUCUGACUCAGUUGGCUUUGCACUCAAUGGGGAGGAUGUGUUUGAUAAGUUCUUGUUUAUUUAGCUAAUGCUGCAUAAUCCAAUAAAGACCGGGUGCAAAGUACAGCAGAUGUACAAACUUCCUGCCUUUGAGGACAAAUACCAUGGUCUCUCAAUUAUCAAAGAUAAGAAAAUAAAGAGUACAGAUCAUUCCAGAAUGGCAUGACGAGGCAAGACAUCAUAGAAAAUGUCCUUUUACCUGGCCCUUGAAGAAGUGUAUUUUAAUAGUGAAUUGAAGGCAUGAGUUUUGACUGGUACUCCUUACCUAAUGAAACCGACAGAGCAGUCAUCUUCCUUUACAAGGUUGCUGAUCUGAGUGUUGAAGUAUCUACAGGGACAAGGAACGAGAACCAUACCAACACUUGGUGUUGCUGAGUACAAGACUAGCUGACUAUAGAGACUAGACUGGCUCAAAAAUGUGACUUGCUGGAAACUUGCCUGAGACAAUAGGAGUCAAUCAUCUUUCAAGUUCAAAGGAGGCCCUGGAACAGAGUCAAUCUUUGAAUAGAGAGAAGAGGAAGGUGCACGAGGAGUGGAAGGGGAAAGACUUGCUCGUCAAGGAAUAUGGAUGAUGAGAGAGAAGGAGGAAAUGAGUCUACUUAGACGUCAAGACAGGCAGCAGAAGAAAAUCAGAAAUGGAAUAAAUUCCAAAGGUAUUGGAACUCCAAAGGCUAACACCUGGAAGCCAUCACCUGCAGAUGCCCAGCCGCCACACACUGUACCCUGCACAGCGGUGUGGGUGCUAAUGGAGAGACCUUGAUCCACCAGUGCACAGUAGGGAAAAUAAACAUACACCUCUCUUUGAAGUAGAAUGGAGAGUGACUCCGUGAAGUCAAGGGGCAUUGUGAAAGAAUGCAAAGCAAAAGGUUUUUCACUAAAGUCUCAUGUAAAUAAAAGUGGUCCUGGGAGGAGAAAAAACAAUACACAGCUGAGAAGAAAUCAACUUUGGAAAGUUCUUUCAGUCAUUUAUCAUUAAAUAGUUAUUAAUAACCUACUACGUGGCAGGCCUGGUUCUGGCCUCUGUGGGACAAAGGAGUAAACAAAGCAGAUAGUUCUACAAGUGACAGCCUAAUUCUUGAAAGAGACAAUUAAAAAAAGAUUGCACAUAUAAAUAUAUAAUUACUACUUUGAUGUUUCAAUGAAAGAAAACUGCAGGGUUCUAUGACAAUGAAACUUUCAGCAAAAAUCCCAAGAAGACAGGAAAACCCUAAGGAGACAGCAAAAAGAUCACGUGAAGCAUCGUUCAUCUGACUUUUAGGAAGCAUCUUCAUCUGACUUUUAGAAACACAAGCAGAGCCAUAUUUUCAGAAUUUUUCAAUUUCCAAAAUACUAAUUAGAAACAGAAAAUAGCUAGUGUAAUGUAAAUAGAUUAUUGAAGAUAUAAUUUAUAGAUUUAAAUUUCCAAAAUUUCAGACUUAAUGAGAACACUCCGUAAUACAUAUGUCAGCUUUUAUACCAAGAAAUAAUAUGUCUCGUUUUGAUUAGUGUCGAAUCGACUGCACAGAAAUAGAGCUGUGAAUUGUCCUGAACUUGAUGACAAAAGAAGAGAAUAUAGACAAG
rnacentral:lncRNA from 1 species